UUUAAUUAUCAUAUAUAAAAGUGAAAAUAUAAAAUAUAAAUUAAUUUUAGUUGGAGCAACUGGGAGGGAUAAAAAUCUUUUAUUAAAUCAUUUAUAGUAAUAUUUAUAUUUAUGAUCCAAAUUAGUUAAUUUUGAAUUUAGAAU
rnacentral:rRNA from 1 species